rnacentral:rRNA from 1 species
AUACGUAGGGAGCGAGCGUUGUCCGGAAUUACUGGGCGUAAAGGGCGCGUAGGCGGCGCUUCAAGUCGUCUGUCAAAUGGGAGGGCUCAACCCUUUUUCGCAGACGAAACUGGAGAGCUUGAGAAGCAGAGAGGCAACCAGAAUUCCUGGUGUAGCGGUGAAAUGCGUAGAUAUCAGGAAGAAUACCAGUGGCGAAGGCGGUUUGCUGGCUGCAUACUGACGCUGAAGCGCGAAAGCCAGGGGAGCAAACGGGAUUAGAUACCCCGGUAGUCCUGGCAGUAAACGAUGUAUGCUGGGUGUGAGACUAGCGAUAGUUUCGUGCCGAAGUUAACGCGAUAAGCAUACCGCCUGGGGAGUACGGUCGCAAGAUUGAAACUCAAAUGAAUUGACGGGG